rnacentral:rRNA from 1 species
GCCUUAUUGGCAGUCUCGCGGUUGCUGGUCCUCACCGAGGACAUGUGCACGCUUGUUGUUAUUUUUCCAACUGUGCACAUAUUGUAGACCUGGGAAGUCUUUUAUUGUUGGGAUAGAUUGAGGACUGCCAAUGCGGCUUUGCCUUGUAUUUCCAGGUCUAUGUUGUAAUACAAACGAAUGAAUGUUGAGUACUGGGGAAUAUGAAAUAAUAAUACAACUUUCAGCAACGGAUCUCUUGGCUCUCGCAUCGAUGAAGAACGCAGCGAAAUGCGAUAAGUAAUGUGAAUUGCAGAAUUCAGUGAAUCAUCGAAUCUUUGAACGCAUCUUGCGCUCCUUGGUAUUCCGAGGAGCAUGCCUGUUUGAGUGUCAUUAAAAGUUCUCAACCACUCUGGUUCUUUCCGGUGUGGCUUGGAUUUGAGGGGUUUUGCAGGCUUUUGAACUGAAGUCGGCUCCCUUGAAAAGGAUUAGUGGUGUCUGAGCAGAAGCCGCCAUGGGUAUGAUAAUUAUCUAUGCCUUGGUGGAAUGCCUGACCACAAAAAAGUGUUGUGUUUUGACGAAUUUGACCUCAAAUCAGGUAGGACUACCCGCUGAACUUAAGCAUAUCAAUAAGCGGAGGAAAAGAAACUAACGAGGAUUCCCCUAGUAACUGCGAGUGAAGCGGGAAAAGCUCAAAUUUGAAAUCUGGCGGUCUUUGUGGCUGUCCGAGUUGUAAUCUAGAGAAGUGCUUACCUGUGCUGGACCGUGUCAAGGUCUCCUGAA